GCGAGCCAACCUCCCACCCGUGUUUACUGUACCUUAGUUGCUUCGGCGGGCCCGCCAUUCAUGGCCGCCGGGGGCUCUCAGCCCCGGGCCCGCGCCCGCCGGAGACACCACGAACUCUGUCUGAUCUAGUGAAGUCUGAGUUGAUUGUAUCGCAAUCAGUUAAAACUUUCAACAAUGGAUCUCUUGGUUCCGGCAUCGAUGAAGAACGCAGCGAAAUGCGAUAACUAGUGUGAAUUGCAGAAUUCCGUGAAUCAUCGAGUCUUUGAACGCACAUUGCGCCCCCUGGUAUUCCGGGGGGCAUGCCUGUCCGAGCGUCAUUGCUGCCCAUCAAGCACGGCUUGUGUGUUGGGUCGUCGUCCCCUCUCCGGGGGGGACGGGCCCCAAAGGCAGCGGCGGCACCGCGUCCGAUCCUCGAGCGUAUGGGGCUUUGUCACCCGCUCUGUAGGCCCGGCCGGCGCUUGCCGAACGCAAAUCAAUCUUUUUCCAGGUUGACCUCGGAUCAGGUAGGGAUACCCGCUGAACUUAAGCAUAUCAAUAAGCGGAG
rnacentral:rRNA from 1 species